UACGUAGGGCGCAAGCGUUAUCCGGAAUUAUUGGGCGUAAAGAGCUCGUAGGCGGUUUGUCGCGUCUGCCGUGAAAGUCCGGGGCUCAACUCCGGAUAUGCGGUGGGUACGGGCAGACUAGAGUGAUGUAGGGGAGACUGGAAUUCCUGGUGUAGCGGUGAAAUGCGCAGAUAUCAGGAGGAACACCGAUGGCGAAGGCAGGUCUCUGGGCAUGAACUGACGCUGAGGAGCGAAAGCAUGGGGAGCGAACAGG
rnacentral:rRNA from 1 species